rnacentral:rRNA from 1 species
GACGAACGCUGGCGGCGUGCCUAAUACAUGCAAGUCGAACGGUCUUUUCUAUGGAAGCUUGCUUCCACUGAGAAGAUAGUGGCGAACGGGUGGGUAACACGUGGGUAACCUGCCCAUAAGAGGGGGAUAACAUCCGGAAACGGGUGCUAAUACCGCAUAGUUUUCUUGAUCGCAUGAUCGAGAAAGGAAAGACGGCCUUUGUGCUGUCGGUUAUGGAUGGACCCGCGGCGUAUUAGUUAGUUGGUGAGGUAACGGCUCACCAAGACGAUGAUACGUAGCCGACCUGAGAGGGUGAUCGGCCACAUUGGGACUGAGACACGGCCCAAACUCCUACGGGAGGCAGCAGUAGGGAAUCUUCCGCAAUGGACGAAAGUUUGACGGAGCAACGCCGCGUGAGUGAAGAAGGUUUUCGGAUCGUAAAACUCUGUUGUCAGAGAAGAACAAGUCGGAGAGUAACUGCUCCGGCCUUGACGGUAUCUGACCAGAAAGCCACGGCUAACUACGUGCCAGCAGCCGCGGUAACAC